AUUCCUGAAGAUUGAAACUUGUCGGCACUCUCUCGCACUUUUCUAUAUUAUUAGAAGGACACGCGUAUACCCUAGUAGGACACGUGUGCAUGCUACCGUGGGUAAAAUAAGUGAAGAAAGGGUCCCGAAGGCCACCUUGCAGCCACCCCUCGCGGCUAUAAAAGGAGACGCUGGGCUCAAGAAGAGAACACAAGAGACGGGAGAGCACGGAGCACUCAAAGCAUCGAGACUCUCCACCAGAGCACCACUUCCUUCGUAGUCUAGCCACCACCACUACUAGUAGAAUAGCCAAGAAGGCGCUUAGUUCGCCAAGAGUUUGAAGGCUGAAGAAGCUCUCAAGGCUAAUCGCAUGAAGAUCUGUAUGGCCGAAGAGCGAAGACUGGUACACAAAGACUAGCCAAUUAUUCACCGAGAGACAAUGCCACGUGAAGAAAGCAAAGAUUCCUGAAGAUUGAAACUUGUCGGCACUCACUCGCACUUUUCUAUAUUAUUAGAAGGACACGCGUAUACCCUAGUAGGACACGUGUGCAUGCUACCGUGGGUAAAAUAAGUGAAGGAAGGCUCCCGAAGGCCACCUUGCAGCCACCCCUCGCGGCUAUAAAAGGAGAUGCUGGGCUCAAGAAGAGAACACAAGAGACGGGAGAGCACGGAGCACUCAAAGCAUCGAGACUCUCCACCAGAGCACCACUUCCUUCGUAGUCUAGCCACCACCACUACUAGUAGAAUAGCCAAGAAGGCGCUUAGUUCGCCAAGAGUUUGAAGCCUUGGCAUGUAUGUACGCAUACACUGACACGAGGAUUCUUGAAGGCUGAAGAAGCUCUCAAGGCUAAUCGCAUGAAGAUCUGUAUGGCCGAAGAGCGAAGACUGGUACACAAAGACUAGCCAAUUAUUCACCGAGAGACAAUGCCACGUGAAGAAAGCAAAGAUUCCUGAAGAUUGAAACUUGUCGGCACUCUCUCGCACUUUUCUAUAUUAUUAGAAGGACACGCGUAUACCCUAGUAGGACACGUGUGCAUGCUACCGUGGGUAAAAUAAGUGAAGGAAGGCUCCCGAAGGCCACCUUGCAGCCACCCCUCGCGGCUAUAAAAGGAGACGCUGGGCUCAAGAAGAGAACACAAGAGACGGGAGAGCACGGAGCACUCAAAGCAUCGAGACUCUCCACCAGAGCACCACUUCCUUCGUAGUCUAGCCACCACCACUACUAGUAGAAUAGCCCAGAAGGCGCUUAGUUCGCCAAGAGUUUGAAGGUAAUUUCCUAGUUGUGUGUAAUCCCUUCGAGGCCUCCCGAAAGGGAAAACCAUAUGUAAAUUAUGUUGUUGAAAUGAUGUAGUUUCUUGGUUUCACUUAGUGCUUUUAUUUAUGAAUUUAUGGG